AGACAAGUGUUAUUCAUCUUUAAUCGGUUUAAAGGGUACCUAGACGGAAAAUCAAGCUAUAGUAGGGACUAAUUUUCUAGAGUUUAAUGAAAGAAAGUCGAAUAUCUGGAGUAAAGAAACAAUAUUUCGAUACCAGAGAGACGGGUAACGGCGUAGGCAACUUUCUAUGUAAAAACUGACGUUGAGGGACGAAGCCCUGGGUAGCGAUAAGGAUUAGAUACCCUAGUAGUCCAGGGAGACAAUGAUGAGUGCCAUAAGCUAGAUAUAUUAGUUUAUAAAUGAAAGUGUAAGCAUUCCACCUCAUGAAUAAGGCGGCAACGCAUAAAUUGAAAUCAUUAGACCGUUUCUGAAACCAGUAGUGAAGUAUGUUAUUUAAUUCGAUGAUCCGCGAAUAACCUUACCACGUUUUGUAUACUAUUUAAUUAUUACAAGUGCUGCACGGCUGUCUUUAGUUAAUGUCGUGAGACUUUGGUAAAUU
rnacentral:rRNA from 1 species